UGCUUUGCGCAGUGGCGAUAUCGUAACCAAUGAGGUUUAACCGAGGUGCGAUUAUUGCUAGUUGAAAACUAAUAACUAAUCAGGCACGUUGGUCCGGUAGCUAGACUUGCCCGAUUUGCUUCAAAUUUGGUGCAAGUACUCCUAGUG